ensembl:snRNA U6 U6 spliceosomal RNA
GUGCUUCAGCGGUACACGUGCUGGAGCUAGCAAGGGUACAGAGAAGAUGGGCACGGCCCCCGCGCAAGGAUGAGACCUAAAAUGUAACCAGAGUUCUUUAUAGAUUUUU